rnacentral:ncRNA from 1 species
UGUGACAAAGGCAAACUUGCCGAAAGGCAAGGACGCAAAGCCAUAGGGCCUUCUUCGUCUCACACGAGCCGAAGGUGGCAGCCGCGCUGCCGGAA